UUUUUCAUUUCCCUGUAGCGCGACUUUCAAUUUUCAAAGGCCGCCCAAAUUUUCACUUAACUCCAACCUAAAUUCCUCAAAUUAGGUUGAACUCGCCUCAAAUUUUCAAAGGCCGCCCUAGUUGAACUCGCCUCAAAUUGGUAAUUUCUCAAAUUAGUCUUAUGUCUUCUUCUUUCGUUGAGUGGUUGUCUCCUUUUUCAUCUCACAAGCCAUGGAAUUUUCAUGGACGAGGACAUUGUUAAUCUCUUUUUCAGCUCUAUACAAGCAGAUCGCAGUACGGCAGUACGGUAUUUUUUCGAUCUGUUUCUAUACUUCCAGCGAUUUUUUCCUUCGAAAAAUGAUAUAGCAGUUGAUUUAGCCUUUUGGUUCAAUUGAUUAAUGAAGUUGGGUUCAGAUCUGGCUAUCAAAUUCUUCUUGAAUCGCAUUAACCCUCAAAACCUCAAAAAAUAGGUAAUAUUUAAUCUCGAAAGUGUAAUUGAAUUUCUAUGUUUCUUAAAAUCAUUUUGUCGAUUUUCGGCCAUUUUUUCUUGCCUAAUAUGUUGGUAGAUUUUUUAUGGCUCUUUAUUUAUUUUCCUCUCUUCUGGGGGCACAUCAAAGAAAGAUUAUUGUAACUCCUAAUCUAUUCGAAUUUCAGUUCAAGCAAGAUGAGAAUAAACGAUUUACUUUAAUAGCACCAAGAAUUUAUUAUGUUUUGAACAAUUUGGAUAAAUUAGUUUGAAUUAAAUUUCCAUUUUAAUAAAUUGUAGACGAAAUGAUAAAAUUCCAGACUUCUCUAUGUUGCCCAAGUGUACUGCUGCAUAUCUCAUAUUCAUUGAGAUUUGCUCCUCCUCUUUCAUUGCAAAGUUUUAGUAAACUAAAUUCGUUUGACUGCUUUUUUUAUCUGAUAUUUUUGCCUUUGAAUUUGUUUCAAUUUUCACUCUUUUAUUAACUAAUUUAACUCAAUUGUGAUUUUCUGGGGAAACCAUACCUUUUGUUUCAAUUAAGCUUCCACCAAUUUUAAAGUGCUUUGCUAAGUGCUAAUUGGAAAUUCAAUUCAACUCGGUGUGGUCAUCAUAUUGUUGUAUCUUAGAUGCUUUUCUCUUCUUAGUAGAGACUACAGAGUAAACAAUCCAUUUUAAUGAGUGCUGAGUGUUAAUGUUUUUGUGUCCUUGGUCCAUGGGUGGAAGUUUUGAAGCCUUCACUUGGCUUGAAAGUUGAAGGGAAUCCAACAGGCUGAACUUCUUGAAGGUUUUAACUUUUUACCUUUCUUUUCAUCUUUAAUUUUUAUCUUUGUAGUUCUUAGCUACCUCAGUAUUUAGUACCACUACAGGUCUCUCGAUAUUUUUCGUUCUGAAUAUUCUAUAGCUAGCUCUUUUCCAUAUGGAUAGCUUAAGCUUUGUGCAUAGACUCUCUUUAAUAAUUGAAUUUAAAUUAAGGCUCCUAUUCCUUAUCUCAAUUGUAGAUUGAAAUAUAUCCAACCAUUUUUUAUAGCAUAAAGGCUGAACAUAACAUGAAGGGGAGUAUAUAUAGUGAUCAUAGGUUGUAUCUUCCUAUAUGAAUACUAAAGCAUUAACGUGUGUAUUCUCUCUCUUCACCUUAGCUAAACAAGGAUAAGGAAGGCAGUCUUAGUUUAGGUGGCGUUCUCUUGAUGUGCCUCCUACUGAUUUUGAGCAUUAGUAUACUUUCCCUUUUCAUUUUCGGUAUGCUUUUUGUUUUUAAAUUGGUUUCUUUGUUGUAGACGAUGAUACCUGACUCUUCUCCCCAAACCGGCUGACAUAAUUAGUUUGUUCCUGCUUCACAGGUCAGGCUGUGGAAAAUAUUUCUAAUUGCUGAUGAAUGGCCUAAUUUCCAUGGUUUUUGAUGUUAUAAUAUGGUAUAAUAGAAAAUAUGUUUUUAACAACAAAAUAAUUACGACCAAAGCUAAUUUUGGUCGUUAUGUGCAGCCUUAUGACGACUAGUCUAGAUGUUUGUCGAAAUAGAGUUUAGCAGGCAAAAUAAAUUUAUUCAUCAAACACCAAUACCGUUGUUAUUUGUGGUAAAGUGAAGCAGGAUAAAAUUUUUAGGUUUUCCAAAUUUUAGUUUCACAUUUACACUCUUUGUGAAAUAAAAACAAUAAAAAUUCUGAAGCGCUCUUCUCCCCCCUUCUAUAAUUCAAUGAAAUACACAUUGAUUUAACAUUUUUAAUAUAUUCGUUGUUAAAUCCACCGAAAUUUUACCUCUAUGGUCAAUUCUUUCCCCUAAAUCUAAUUAUUUUUUCGCAAGUUCUUGAAUUGAGAUUCUAGGGUUUUAGCGACAAUAUUCUUAAUGCUUGUUAACUAGUUGGUUAAAUUUGUAGGACGAGUGGUUGUUUUUAUCAUGGAUUGAUUAUGGAAGUUCAACAUAUUAUGAUCGAUGAAGUUGAGAGUUUGUAUAUACAAGGUUUUCAUUCCUCUUCUCUGCUUUUCUAUUUGUCCCUAAUUUGUUAUAGUUUUAAUUGUGCUUGCUUUAUUUAAUCAACAGUUUAAGGUUUUCAAUAUAUUUGUAAUUAUACUAGGAUUUUUAUGAACUCUCUAUUGGUAAAACUCUUGCUAAAAAUUGGGAUCUGCAUUAUAAGGUUUGGCCGAAAUACAGAACAAGAACUAAAUUAGUUGUAGCGAAGAAAAUGCAACGCGCGCAUCGAAGCCAAUUGUUGCAUCUAUUUCCAAUUUAGCGUUCAAUUACGUCGAAAACAACUAGUUUAAUACACGAGUUUAAGAGAAGUGAGCUCAAUAGUCUACAUCUACAACUGUUGGGAGUGCGCCAGACACAUCUCCUUUGCCCAGAAUAUAGUUGUGGUGGUUGCAGGUAGUUUAACAGGUUUUUAAAUCAAAAUCUCGAGAUCGGGUUGUAGGUUUUGGAGGAGGAAUAAAGCUUCAAGAUGUAAGGGGACCACAACCCAGUAGAGUAGAGCUUUAAACUAAAUUAAAUGCUGCCAACAAACGGAAUGAAGUUCUUGCAAAUCGCAUGGAGGAAGUACAAGCUGAGAACAAUGAAAUGAAGGAACGUGUUAGCUUGGUUGAGUCUAGAAUUAAAAUGUUUCAAGAUGCAUUAGUCUCGCAACUUAAUGUUACAAUUCCAACUUCACAAGCUGGAUCAGAAAUGCAAAAAUAGGUUGAAGCUGCUACACAUCAGUUCUAGAUAUUUGGUGUAAAUUUUCUUAAUUUUUUUUAAGAACAAGGAUUUAUUAAGAUUUAAUUCUUAGUAUGGACCAAGUUAAAUAUUUGAUCUUAUUAGUUUGGUUGUUUUGACUCACAUUGAAUCUUGUGACUGAUUACGUUUAAUUAAUAUAAAUUUAUUGUAUUAUUCUAUA